rnacentral:lncRNA from 1 species
UAACUCCAUAAAGCUGUCUUAAAAGAAUUCUUUGCAUGUUUUGGAUACAAGUCUUGUAUUGCACAUGUAUUCUGUAAAUAUUUCUCUGAGAAUGUGGCUUGUCUUUUCAUUCUUUCACCAGAGUCUUUCACAAACAAGCCUCUUCUGGUUCGGGCACUGUCAGGGAGAUGGGGAAUCAGUGGGGUGUCAUGGAAUCUGCUCCCUGGCCCGGUUAAGCCUGAUGGAGAGAGUGUCUGCUGGCAGGAGUUCAGGGACUGUUGUCCAAGGGACACUGGGAGGCAUGGAGACCAAAGCUGUUCCACCUUUAUCCCAACAUGUAUUUCCCUGCCAGGACCUUGGUGACAUGGACCUCAGAAAAUGAAUCUGAAACUAUGAAUACUGGGCUCCUCUACUGUUUUUAAAAAGCAAUAAUGACACCUCAACUUGAUGAGAAUCCUGAAGAGCAGCUGUCCCUCCUCUCAGAAGUGCUGGAACUGUAAGAAAGAUCUACCCAAAGAUAGGCUUCACUUUGAAAGUAUGACUCACAGAGAAUUCUCUACGUACUCUUCACACAAAGAAUUCCAAAAUUUUUCUUCAUCAAACCCAGAGUCACCAGUUCAUAAAUCCCCUGUGCUGGACACCAGCUUUGCAAGGUUGUGCAACACUGAGGUCCCUGAUCAUUUCGCAGGAAACUGCCUGCCCUGGAGACUGAGCACUUUCACCAAACACCAUUAGGCAGGCGACUGUUCGCUGGCUUGGUAAAGACUGUGAUCAUCUCUUCUUGGCCCUGGGGACCCCAGGGAGGCCCAGGCACUGAAUGAUGACAUCAUCUUUGUUAAUGACCGCUGUGGCUUUUAAUAACAGAUCACUUCUCUCUACAAGGCUAAGUGUUUCUCUUGGCUAACUGCCACCAACUUCUUUUGUAUUUGAGGAAAAAAUUAUGGCUGUUUAGCAACUGGUAAUUUCAGGGAUUUAAAAAAAAAUACUUCUAGAAGCUUCUUUUCAUCCUGAAGCUAACGUUAAGGCAACUUCAGAUUUACAAGUUUAUAAAGCAGAAAUGCAGGCACUUUAGCUGUACCAUGGCCUCUGAAAUAGGAUUGGCACAAGAUGAUUCGCUAGCCGGUGGGAAAGAAGUAUUAGAAUUUAUAUUUCUCUACAAAAGAAAUAAAC